rnacentral:rRNA from 1 species
AUUGAACGCUGGCGGCAGGCCUAACACAUGCAAGUCGAACGAGUGGCGGACGGGUGAGUAAUGUCUGGGAACCUGCCUGAUGGAGGGGGAUAACUACUGGAAACGGUAGCUAAUACCGCAUACCAUCGGAUGUUCCCAGAUGGGAUUAGCUAGUAGGUGGGGUAAAGGCUCACCUAGGCGAAGAUCCCUAGGUGGUCUGAGAGGAUGACCAGCCACACUGGAACUGAGACAGGGUCCAGACUCCUACGGGAGGCAGCAGUGGGGAAUAUUGCACAAUGGGCGGAAGACUGAUGCAGCCAUGCCGCGUGUAUGAAGAAGGCCUUCGGGUUGUAAAGUACUGUCAGCGGGGAGGCGUUACCCGCAGAAUAAGCUCCGGCUAACUUCGUGCCAGCAGCCGCGGUAAUUC